CGCCUAGCUGCGCGCUCUUCCUGCUCCGCGGCUCGGCCCUGGGCCAGCACUGCGCAUGUGUGAGCUCUAGCGGUCGCGCUCUCCGUCUGAGCUCCCGGGCCACCUCUGUCCCAGUCCCAUUAGCCAAGAGGCCGCAGAUCCAUUAUAACAGGCUCUUACAGGGAGGACUGUUCUGCGGAGCGCUCCGAACGGACAAACCACAAUAAAAAGUUCACGUUCAUGGAUGGAAUCCACAUGACUUCUUGUGGCCAAUCCAACUUGAAGAGAACGGCAUUCUUCCCCAGGGGUGUCCAGUCCUGGCAGUCCCCAACUCCAGCCCAGAUGGAAAUGGGAGGGGCAGGCCGCUGGAAGCUGGAAGCGUCAUCGCCAAGCCUGACCUGGCCGUGGUCUGAAGAGCAGAGAGGGUUUAGACCUGCCCUGGGCAGUCCUGCAGAGACCGCAGGAGGGGUGAGAAUGGGGGCCAACCUCCAGAACCCCCAAAGCGCGCCUCAUCCCCAGGUUCCUUUCUCAGAGAAAAUGACAUCCCCCCAGACCAUCCCUAGUGUCAGGUCUCCUCAAUUCCUAGGUUCAGAUGGCAGCUUACUUCUAAUCAUUUUAGAAUUAAAAAUCAAAU